UAUUGUCAUCUCUGUUCUCUGUGUUCUCGAGCGUUAGUUUAAUCUGCGUAGAAGUCAGGUUGGGGAGUUUUCAGUGCUUGACCUGCAGCCAACAGUUACGCUCUGAGCCGAAAAGACUACAGGAAACCUUCGAGACCUUAUUCAGUAGUCGGACGACAGUCGGAUCAUCAGAGCUCGUCGGAAGAAGUGACGGUUGACGGUGGCUGGCGGACGCUCGUCUGCGAGAUGUGCGACUACGUGGCCACGAGGAGGGGCAGCAUGCGACGCCACCAGAAGACACACCGGCAAGCGCCCUCUCUGCGGCCACCUGUGCCUCCUGGCGUUCGGGGAGAAGACGUCCCUGACGAGCCACCUCCGAACGCAUCCGGGAGAGCAGCCAUUCCAGUGCGGCCCUGCCGGAAAGCGUUUCUGGAGCGCAGUCACCUGAUCGACCACCAGACGACGCACACGGGAGAGAAGCCGCUUCGAUGCACCCCCGGCUCCCGGUAGUUUACCAAGAAGGACUCGCUCAUGAGGAACGUGCAGACCCACGCAAGCAAGUCGGAUUCCUAGCGUCCAAGUUGCGGAUAGUUAUUGUAGCAGUGGCUGCCGGAACUCUGUUCUCUCUUCGAGAACUUGUUUCCGUGGAUGCGUGCCAGAUAAAAGGAUCCAUGGCGUCGAAGCGAGCCAGCUUUGGAGCUGCGCUGCUCGUCAUGGAACAGGCUCAUGCAAGAUACUGUAAACGACUUAAUUUUCGCGGGCUCAAAUUUUUGCGAAUCGGGCCAAAGCUGAAAAUUUGAAAUUAUUCGCGGUUUCUAAUUUUUGCGGAUCGAGUGUAGCUUCCAUAGCGUUCACAUAUUGCCCGAAUCGUUCGCGGGAUGUAUUUUUUUGCGAGUUGUAGGCGAUUCGCGAAAUUCGCGAAAGUUAGGUCCUCGCGAAAUUUUAGUCGUUUACAGUAAUCGUUUAGGAAUUUGAAUAGGUUUUUAGCGGACGCGAUUGUAUCUAUGUGGCUGGCCAGUGUUUUUGUUUUUCUAAUGUGUUUGUCAUAAUUGUUUUGUUGUGCUUGAAUAGAUGAAAAAAGUUUUUGAACUUGCAUUUGCAACUUUCUAGGUGAAAUUAGUUUGUUAGAGUUUUGGUCUCAGUACAUUUUGCGUGUAUACUCUAUAUUAAGGAGUUUUCAAAGACCGCGUUUCCCACUCCGCUAAGCCGUUCGCAAGGAAGAAGCGGCUACUGCGCCUGCGCGCCGAUGGCCUUGGCUGUAGAGUUCCGGAUAUCGUAGCAAGUUGCGGAGAGCGUUCCGGGACGGGGAAAACGAUCUACGAAAACUCCCUAUUGUUAUGUUUCACGAAUGCUUCCUAGAAGAAAUGGCCUUUUGUCCUGUGUGGUGUGAUGUUGCAAUUGGUACAAUGUGUAAAGAGCUAUCAACCGAAACACGACUCCGACUUUUAGCGGUACUGAUUUUUCGCCCCAUUGCUGUACGUGCAGAGCUACAUCGGAUCAGCUUUGCUGCUAAUCCACUUUGCAUGCGCUCUGUGGAGCGCACGAGCGUGUCCGCUAAAUGUUGGAGACAGUUGUCUCCUGUGUGGACAGCCCCUCACAGGAUUGAACUGCACUGAAUUUUGGUGCUUUAUGCUGCUUCAUUGCCUUUUACCUAUACUUCUUGACGUAGAGUCACCCAGCAUUGAAGCCUCUGUUCCUGGGUGACAUUCGGGAGUUUUAGAAUAACAUACGCAAUUUUAACGCUUGCGUUAGCGCACGCUUAGCAUAAUAGUUUGAAGGGCGAUUCACACACUUGCGUCGAGUUGGAAUAAGUGCGACGUACGGGUUGCUAUGGCAACAGGUGCAUCGGCUCCAACACAAUUGUUGGAGCCGAAGCAGCCGUUGCCAUAGCAACCAGUCUGUUGCACUCGCAUUCUGUCGUACUCUCGCCAAGUAUGUGAACCAACCUUUAGAAUGGCGUUUCUGUGCCGCGACGCAAAACCCCAAGCACGUUGCGCUUGCAACGCCUCUGAGAUACAGUAGCAGUUUUCAUUUAAAUGCUGUAACUUGAGAAAAAGUAGUGUUGUGGUCCAGAGUAACAUUUUAGGUUUGUUUAAAUAUGAGAAUGCGAAGCGCGAGCGGUCGAUCGGUCGUGUCCGUUUGCGUCGCCUCGACUGGAGAGGCCUCGUGUACUGAUCUUCGCUGCCCUCGCCGAGAAAUGUUUGCGCGUCGCGAGUAGCAAGUUACCGAAGAUCGUUGCCCACUUUGCUGGGUCUUCCGAGCUGUUUAUGAAGCGCACCUCCCGUAGGAGUGCAAUGUCUUCCUGCAUGGAAGAUCGCAGUCGCGAGGAUGCCGCCGACGAUGCGCUCACGACGACCGCCCAAGCGGCGGCAGCCGCCGCAGCCGCGGUCUUGGGAACCGCUAUUUCCUAAGAGGAGCGCAAAGACUCUGCGUACGUACGCAAUUUCCGAAAAAUAGCUCGCGCAAAAUGUGGUUAGCAUUCGGCGCUUGCGCAGUCGCGACGACGCUAUUUGCGGACGAAACUACCUUUUGAAGCUUACUUAUGAAGCCAAUGGCUUCGAAACUCGAUUAGUUGGUGGUUGAACGACACGCUUACUAAUUAGGCAUUUUACCUUCUCUUUCGGAUUAUUUCAAGGGAAAAUGCUAUGUGCGUUUCCGUCCACAGCCAAACAAAGACAAGGCGUUUCGACGGCAGCUAGCCCAUCGCACAUCGCCGAUCAUCAUGACAGCCCGCGGCAAGAAGCAAGCGGGACGAAGUUCUAUUGUGGCUUUUGUUCGGAAGCCUUCACCGACCAGACCCGCUUUAUGGAGCACCUUCGCGGCCACAGGACCCUGCAGCAGAGGCCCUUCGAGUGUCAGGUGUGCCACACCGCGUUUGCGCAUCGGGUUAGCCUCACGAACCAUCUGCGCACUCACCGUGCAGAAAGACCUUUCCAAUGUCCAAUGUGCCUGGACACCUUCAAGCAGAGAGGCAACCUCACCAUGCAUCUGAGGUCACACGCGGACCCGAGCGCGGGUGCUGACGGCACCUGAGAACGUACGACUUCUUGGACUUACCAGAGGAGCAGCUGGAUUGAACACGGGGGACAGAAAGCCCCUUGUUGUCUGACGGGAGCGCCGGCCGUGUUGCCGAGAUUUCGGUUGCAUGCGAGAUGGACGUGCAGGGGUUCGGAAUGAAUGCUCACUCGCGAAGGGCAGCCUCUGGGCUGCGGCUGCCUUUUGUUAGUUUGGAGCUGAAGAUCAUCGGAUGGUUCAACUUCGAUUAAUUUCUGGUCAUUUUUUCUUUAUUUCGGCCUAAAAAUAUGUUUACAAAUAAGGUCCUUGCCCAAUGCCACUAUGAGAAUAAAAUUUAAAC